rnacentral:rRNA from 1 species
GGUUGAUCCUACCAGUAGUCACAUGCUUGUAUCAAAGACUAAGCCAUACAUGUGUAAGUAUGAAGUAAUUCAAAUUGUAAAACUGUGAUUAGCUCAUUAAAUUAGUUAUAGUUUGUUUGAUAGUAUCUAUUACUUAAAUAACUAUAGUAAUCUAGAACUAAUACAUGCAAUAAACCCUAACUUUUGGAAAGGAUGUAUUUAUUAGAUAAAAGGUCAAUGCGGGCUUUGCCCAUUGCUUUGAAGAUUCAUGAUAACUUGAUGGAUCAUACAACCAUUAUGCCGGUGACGCAUCAUUCAAAUUUCUGCCUUAUCAAUUUUUGAUGGUAAGAUAGUGGCCUACUAUGGUGGUGAUAGGUAGUGGAGAAUUAGGGUUUGAUUUCAAAGAAAGACCUUAAGAAAUGGCUACAACAUCUAAGAAAGGCAAUAGACGCACAAAUUAUCCAAUCCUGUAUAGAAAGGUAGUGAUAAUAAAUAACAAUACCAAGCUUUAUGAGUCUAGUAAUUGGAAUGAGUACAACCUAAAUCCCUUAAUGAGAAUCUAUUAGAGGGCAAGUAUGGUACUAGCAGCCAUGGUAAUUCUAGCUCCAAUAAUGUAUAUUUAAGUUAUUGUAGUUAAAAAGCUCAUAGUUAAAACUAGGGUUGGGUCAUCCAAUCUGCUUUAUGGUGAGCACUGGUCUACUCAUCCUUACUACCAGUGAUGCAUUCCUGGCUUUAACUAACCAAGUCAUUUCUUCGGCAUUAUUACUUUGAAGAAAUUAGAGUGCUCAAAGUAGGCUUACACUUGUAUACAUUAAAAUGGGAUAACAUCAUAGGAUUUUAGUCCUAUUUUGUUGGCUUUUAGGGUUGGAGUAAUGAUUAAUAGGGAUAGUCAAGGGCAUUUCUAUUUCAUAGUCAUAGGUGAAAUUCUUGGAUUUAUGAAAGAUGAAUAACUACAAAAGCAUUUGCCAAGGAUGUUUUCACUAAUCAAUAAUGAAAGUUAAAGGCUCGAAGAUGAUCAGAUUCCAUCCUAGACUCAACCAUAAACAAUGCCAACCAAGGAUCAAUGGAUGUUACCUUUAGGACUCCGCUGGCACCUUAUGAGAAAUCAAAGUUUUUAGGUUUCGAGGGGAGUAUGGUCACAAGGCUAAAACUUAAAGAAAUUGACGAAAAGGCAACACCAGAAGUGGAGCCUAUAGUUUAAUUUGACUCAACAUAAGAAAACUUACUAGGUCUAGACAUAGUAAGGAUUGAUAGACUAAGAGCUCAUUUUUGAUUUUAUGGGUGGUUGCGCAUGGCUGUUCUAAGUUGGUGGAGUGAUUUAUCUAGUUAAUUUCGUUAUUGAACAAGAUCUCAACCUGCUAACUAGCUAUGCAGAGGUGAUCGUUCAUGGCUAGCUUCUUAAAGGGACUAUAGCUAUUUAAGCCAAAGAAGUUUGAAGUAAUAACAAGCCUAUGAUACCCUUAAAUGUUCUGGGCUACACACGUGCUACACUGAUGUAUUCAACGAGUCUAUAGCCUUGGCUGAUAGGUCAGGAUAAUCUUUGAAAUUUCAUUAUGAUGGGGAUAGAUCAUUGUAAUUCUUGGUCUUCAAUAAGAAAUUCCCAGUAAGUGUGAGUCAUUAGCUAGCAUUGACUAUAUCCCUACCUUUUAUACACAUCAUCCAUCGCUUCUACCGAUUGAAUAAUCUGGUGAAGUGUUCGAAUAAUAAUGACAUAGAUGAUUUGUUGCCUACGACAUCAUGAGAAGUCCAUUAAAUCUUAUCAUUUAAAAGAAAGAGAAGUUGUAACAAGGUUUCGGUAGGUGAACUUGUGAAAG